CAGAGUCAAUGUGGAGGCUAUAUACAGGGGAUACCGGGACAGAGUCAAUGUGGAGGCUAUAUACAGGGGGUACCGGUACAGAGUCAAUGUGGAGGCUAUAUACAGGGUGUACCGGUACAGAGUCAAUGUGGAGGCUAUAUACAGGGUAUUACGGUACAGAGUCAAUGUGGAGGCUAUAUACAGGGUAUUACGGUACAGAGUCAAUGUGGAGGCUAUAUACAGGGGGUACCGGUACAGAGUCAAUGUGGAGGCUAUAUACAGGGGGUACCGGUACAGAGUCAGUGUGGAGGCUAUAUACAGGGUAUUACGGUACAGAGUCAAUGUGGAGGCUAUAUACAGGGUAUUACGGUACAGAGUCAAUGUGGAGGCUAUAUACAGGGUAUUACGGUACAGAGUCAAUGUGGAGGCUAUAUACAGGGUAUUACGGUACAGAGUCAAUGUGGA
rnacentral:lncRNA from 1 species